rnacentral:rRNA from 1 species
AUUGAACGCUGGCGGCAUGCCUUACACAUGCAAGUCGAACAGCAGCACGGGAGCAAUCCUGGUGGCGAGUGGCGAACGGGUGAGUAAUGUAUCGGAACGUACCUUUCAGUGGGGGAUAACGUAGCGAAAGUUACGCUAAUACCGCAUAUUCUGUGAGCAGGAAAGCAGGGGAUCGCAAGACCUUGCGCUGAUUGAGCGGCCGAUAUCAGAUUAGCUAGUUGGUGAGGUAAAGGCUCACCAAGGCGACGAUCUGUAGCGGGUCUGAGAGGAUGAUCCGCCACACUGGAACUGAGACACGGUCCAGACUCCUACGGGAGGCAGCAGUGGGGAAUUUUGGACAAUGGGCGCAAGCCUGAUCCAGCCAUGCCGCGUGAGUGAAGAAGGCCUCGG